CGGAUAACACAAGAAACCGCAUGGUUUCUUGUUGAAAGAUGGCGCAAGCUAUCACUUACAGAUGGGCCCGCGGCGCAUUAGCUAGUUGGUGGGGUAACGGCUCACCAAGGCGACGAUGCGUAGCCGACCUGAGAGGGUGAUCGGCCACACUGGGACUGAGACACGGCCCAGACUCCUACGGGAGGCAGCAGUAGGGAAUCUUCCGCAAUGGACGCAAGUCUGACGGAGCAUCGCCGCGUGAGCGAAGAAGGUCUUCGGAUCGUAAAGCUCUGUUGUAAGGGAAGAACAAGUACCAGAGUAACUGCUGGUACCUUGACGGUACCUUACCAGAAAGCCACGGCUAACUACGUGCCAGCAGCCGCGGUAAUACGUAGGUGGCAAGCGUUGUC
rnacentral:rRNA from 1 species